rnacentral:misc_RNA from 1 species
AGUUUGAUCAUGGCUCAGAUUGAACGCUGGCGGGAUGCUUUACACAUGCAAGUCGAACGGCAGCACGGACGCUUCGGUCUGGUGGCGAGUGGCGAACGGGUGAGUAAUGUAUCGGAACGUGCCUAGUAGCGGGGAUAACUACGCGAAAGCGUAGCUAAUACCACAUACGCCCUUCGGGGAAAGCGGGGGACCUUCGGGCCUCGCACUAUUAAACGGCCGAUAUCGGAUUAGCUAGUUGGUGGGGUAACGGCUCACCAAGGCGACGAUCCGUAGCUGGUUUGAGAGGACGACCAGCCACACUGGGACGAGACACGGCCCAGACUCCUACGGGAGGCAGCAGUGGGGAAUUUUGGACAAUGGAAACCCUGAUCCAGCCAUCCCGCGUGUGCGAUGAAGGCCUUCGGGUUGUAAAGCACUUUUGGCAGGAAAGAAACGGCACGGGAUAAUACCCC